rnacentral:lncRNA from 1 species
UACUGGCAUGGGGGGUUGUUGUAGAACUGAACCCAAACGUAGUCAAAUAAGCCAGUUUGGAUUGCGCCGUCUAGGUGAGCAUCCGGGAUUGGACAUUGUGGAGCUGCGGCUAAAUAGACCGUUUUUGCCUGUGUGUUGUGCCCGUUGAGUAACCUGGCGAGCUCAUCAUAGAACUGCCCACCACCUAUAACAAUGGCGAAAUCAACGCCGUCCAAAACAGCGUCCCCAAGCGGGCGCGAUGCUGACUGACCACCUAGGAAGUUGUUCCAGAUGUAAUCAGCAACUUGCCUUGCAUCAUCAGCUGAAGUGAGAUUGUAACUUCCGACAGCCCCUCCAAUCGAGAGGAGGACUUUUAUGUUUUGGGAUUGGCAAGCUCUGAUGUCGGCGCUCAGCCCCGUGCAAGUACUACUGCUGGGGUCGCAGUGUCCGGCGAGGUUGAGGGCAGGGACCUGGUUGUUUCCGAAAGUCAUGAGGAAAGCUAUGUUAACAAACUGGUAGUUGCCUGAGUUGCAAGCAUCUACUAGGGUUCCUUCGUUGCCGUUUUGUCCCCAAUACGUUGCGAUUCCGGCGGCUUGAGAGGACUUGCAUGAAGAAAUGAGAAUCAAGAGGAACAGCGUUAGGGCUAGGGUUUGUGUUUUGGUUGCCAUUUUGUAUGUGUUUUUUUUGUUGUUGCUCAAAGUGCUUGGGAGGGUACAUGUAUUUAUAGGUGCAGGGGACUUGUCGGUGAAGGUUUAGGGGAAGAGAAGUAUGACAGACGUGUCUUGCAGGUACAAAAUGGAUGCCAGUCUUCUGCUUGGAUCCGCGUCAACCAAGUUAGGGCCUGUUUAGUCCAAGUUUCACUUCACAACUUAGAAAUUUGUGAAUUAAGUUAGGUCGUGUUGCACGUUCUUUUUUCAAAAACCACUCAUAAGCGCUCUUAAUAUUUUUCGUAAGAAUGCAAGUGUUUUUAGAAAAAACACUCGAGAUGCUUAGCGUGUGAUUUUUCUAGAAAGCACUUUUAAGUGUUUUUUCAACCUAAAACACUUCAAAACCCUUUUAGUUGUUUUAAAGACACUUCCAACAGACACAAAAUGAAAAAUUACUUCCAAAGAGAAAUAUAGCAUGCUAUUUGAGAGAUUCCUAAACUAAAUAGCUAUUAAGCGUGACCUUAACCACUUAAUUAGGUGAAAUAAAAUAUCAAAUUUGACAAACAAUCUGAUGAACGCCAUAGCUAUAUGUUUAGUCAGUGGAUGAGAUAAUCAUGAAACAAUACGUGGAGAAUCAACACAGCCUUAUCAUCGCCAAAAAAUUUCAGCAUGCCAGAAACACGACCUGGUACAAUACUCUUGGUACCUCAAUUGUUGUCUUUAUUCCUGCAGAACCACAUGAGUGAGAUGUUUGCUUACCAUGCAACCAUGAUGUCCAAUACUCUUGGUACCUCAAUCGUUGUCUUUACCAAAACUGGUUUUAUGGCUUAUUCUAUUGAUCCAUUACCGACCUACGUAUACCGUGACCAUAUUUGCCUUUACGAAUGAAUGAGUUUUCAUGUUACCUCUCACAAAGGCAUUAGUUAAAAUUUUAACUGUAUCAGUUAUAUAGUACGCUGUGCAAGUUCUAUUCAUUAGCAAGUACUUUGAUUGUCAUGCAGUAAGAGCAUACAACGGAGAUUGGCUUUGUAUCAAGGCGUAUGUCCCAUAUACAUGGAGUUCCCAGAAGAUUCUGAAACAAGCUUUAGCAAUGCCUUGACUGUGCUGAAGGUGUUUUGCUGCAUAUUUCCUAAAUUUAUGGCGACGUAUGCUAUUCAACCAUGUCAGCACUGAUGGUGCAUUUUCUGGUGUUUUGUUUACAGGAGCAAGGAUUGGUAAAGGCAGGAGAAGAGGUCGCACUCGUUCAAAGUGGCAGGCAACCCAUUUGGCGGCUCCAACCCACUCACAACAUUCAAGUGCGAAAGUUUAGGUGCAACGUAGAUGGAAAACUCGUAGCUUUUGUGUUGUACUUCCAGUUGAAUGUCGUGAUAGUUUCUGAUGAAAUUGGGUUCCACCAUAAAACCAAUUGGCAAUAUGGGGAGUAGCCAAAGAUCAUAUAAGCACAUAGUAAACCUUGUCCCUCAUCAAUGUGGGACAACUCUCAACAUACCCCCGCACGUGUGACGGAAUUUCAAUCCUACACGUGGACAACAACUGGAUGACGUAGAGUGCGUGUGGCCGUUGGGCUUCACACGUGGACAACCUUGCUCUGAUACUAUGAUGAAAUUGGAGUUCCACCAUAAAACCAAUUAGCAAUAUGAGGAGUAGCCCAAGAUCAUAUAAACAUAUAAUAAACCUUGUCCCUCACCAAUGUGUGACAACUCUCAACUCCAAUGUGGGACAACUCUCAACAGUUUCUUGCUUUGGUUGUUUAAUUUUACUUCUGUUGCACACUUUUGUGGUCCUAUCUGCUUCUUUUUGUAUCCCUCUUUCCCCCUAAUUAGUUUGGGUGUAUGUUUUAGAACAGUAAGUUGUUUCAGUAUAAAUUUGGCAGUUUGAAUGAAAUGUCUUAACUUUUUACUCAAACUGUCUAAUUUUUUUUAAUUGUUUGAUUGAGGAGACAGAUUGUCACCUUAUAAUAUCCGCAGCAUAUACCGUUUGUCGCGUGGCCGUUGAACAUUGACUAGGUUAGGAUUAAGAUUGAGAGAGUCUGGUGCUUUUGUGAAUGUUAUUUUAUAGAUAGCGUGAUUAUACAGAUGGCAAAGCGCUUGAACUGGACUCGACAGAAUGAGGUAUUUAUUAACUAAGGUCAAAAGUCAAGCAAAAAUUGUUGAUAGGGACUUCAUAAACAAAAUUAAACAACAUUCGUUUGUAUAAUUAUCAAACCGACAAUAUCUUAGGGUGCUAUCCACACAUUCUUUUUUAUCUUUUGCACACUCCUCUCAAUUUUUAACUGCUAAAUCAAAUGAAUUGAAGAAUAUCAAAUAACAAAAAUUAACAGAGAAUGUGUGAAAGAUAAAACUGAGUGUAUAGAUAGCAUCACCCUAUCUUAUUAAGAUAAUGACAUCCUAUUUAUUUGAUAUAAUCUUUUAGGGACUAACCAAAACAUUGAGUUGCAAAAGUCAAACUCUUCCGAUGAUGGAAGAACUAAAUCCACUUUUAUCAUCACAAAACUUAACAUCACACCACCAUACUUCGACGACUUCUUUAUCACCAGUAGAAUUUCCGAAUUCAGCGAAGCAGCCGGAAUAUACCCACUUACGGCCGCUCAGGAGCCGCCGGCAACCCCAAAAACAUCUUUCUCAUACAAUGAUGUCACUUGGCGUCUUAACAAGGUGGGAGACUUUGGGAGGACUUUAUUGGGUAUUUCCAAGUACUCGGUACUCUAUGUAUUUUAACCAUUAGAUCUUUGUUUAGAAAUAUAAAAAUCAAAAUCUAACGGUUAAAACAUCCAAUGUACCAGUAGUACUGCUCAAAUUUUUUUGAGACAUUGAAUGCAAUCCCUCCAAAAAAUUAAUAGGUUAUACAGUAGUACCACUUCAACCGUGAUACUUUCAUUCAAAGGCUAGUUUUAUACUAAUAUGUGAUGCUUUCAUUCCAUAUUUGAGAGGGCCUUUGAAUAAGUAUAAAGCUAGCCUUUACAAUAUGAGCUAGCUAGCCUCCAUACACACAGUGCCUGCCAAUCAUGUAAAACCAUAGACAAUGAUACAAGACAAUUUAUUUGGACCUAUAAUUUCUUUUCAUAACUACAUCACAUCGCCCUUUAUGUAAAACUAUAUUUUAUUCAAUUUCAAAAAUUAGUACAUGCAAUAACAUGUUUUAUCAUAAAAAAUACGAUAAAUUUCAGGCCUCGUUUGGCAGCUCAGACUGUACUGACUAUUUCUGUCGGAUAGGAUAAAUAGUCAUCGGAUAGUACUGACUAAAUUAGUCGGGCGUUUGGUGCAGUAUCGGACUAAUGACUGUAUUAUUUAUACUGUGUUUGGUAUUAUACCGGAUAGAAGGAAUCAAACUUAAAAUAAAAUUAAAAAAAAAAUUAAAAUCAUCUCUCUUGUUCCAUAUCUCUCCGCCGCACCCCCCCAAACUCCCUCCCUUUCUAUCCCUUCCUCUUCUUCCCCGUCUGCUCCCCUGAACUAAACCCCACCACAAAGGCAGCAACAAGAAACCCAUCUUUCAAAUUCUCAUCGUUUUUUUCCCAAUCCUUAUUUUUUUUUAGCUACAAAUCAACCCAGCAAAAAAACACACCACAAACCAAGAAAAUUCACACAAAGGACUUUGUUUUCUAUUAGUCCUAAAAAACAAUUGGAAGGAAAUUCACGGAGGACACCUUUUUUUCAACAAACCAAGAACACUCAUCGGAGAGAAAAAUGGGGCUGACUGUGAUUUUGGGCAUUAGGUUGGGGAAAAGCAUUGACAAAAUUCGAUUUGGAGGAGGGGAAGAGCUGAGUGACGCCUCCAGUUGGCGAAUUCCUCAGCUUCCAUCCGCCCCUUUCUAUAUAUCCCUGUGGAAUAUGUUGUUUCGCUACUGGUCUCCUUUUGUCUCUCUCUCACUCUCUUCUUUGUUCCUCUGUGUGCUUUCCGUCGGACGAGACGGGAAAUUAGUCGGCGAAUGACUGCAGAGGAGUGGCGCCCGGGGUGGAGAACUCGUCGAGGAACUACUCGAAGGCCCACUUUGAGAAGUCGUUAACGGCGGCUUUGUGAAGUUGGAGAGGACAGCGCCCUGACUAAUUAUCCCGAGCUUUUGGGCUGUUUUAAUAGUACGUUGUCAACCGUAUAAAAUUUGAUGGGCCGGAUAAUUAAGCGGGUGCUUAUUUAGUACGAGAGUGCACCAAACAACAGCUCCUGUAUUACUUAUCCUAUCCGAUGCUUUAUACGGCGUGCCAAACGAGGUGAGCGUGUAUUAGAAAUACGGGAUGGUAAAUCACAUAUUAUUAUAUAAGUGAAAAAAAGUUUUAUUUUUUUAAGUGUGCCUCCACUUAUAUAAUAUAUUGUACUACCCAAAUUCUGAAUAAGUAAAAGAUCUCUCCGAAAAAUACAUAUGCAUGUUUUAUUCAAAAGGUAAGGAAUGAUGCGUCAUCAUCCCUAAUACACUUUAUUAUAGUAGUAGCAUCAAUUGAGGCAGAGAAGUUAAUUAGAUGCUGUCCUUAAUGGAUGCACUAUAACCGUUGUCAUAGAACCUGUUCCAAAGCAUAACUCCUCCGUACUUGGGCGAAUUCUUAAUCGUUGGAAGAACUUGUGACUUGAGAGCGUCAGCAGGAAUAAAUCCGCCGCUCGGAGCGGCCUCAGGAGCUGCCGGUAACCCCAUGAACACCUGGGUGGCCGGAACCGAGGCCCAUUGGUUCCAACUGCUCAAAAGAGCGUCGGCAUUACCGUCCGCAUACUGGCAUUGGGGGUUGUUGUAGAACUGGACCCAAACGUAGUCAAAUAAACCGGUUUGGAUAGCGCCGUCUAGGUGAGCAUCCGGGAUCGGACAUUGUGGAGCUGCGGCUAAAUAGACCGUUUUUGCCUGUCCGUUGUGUCCGUUGAGUGACUUGGCGAGCUCAUCAUAGAACUGCGCACCACCCGCCUCAAUGUCGAAAUCAACGCCGUCCAAAACCGCGUCCCCAAGCGGGCGCGAAGCUGACUGACCACCUAAGAAGUUGUUCCAGAUGUAAUCAGCAACUUGCCUUGCAUCAUCAGCUGAAGUGAGAGAGUAACUUCCGGCGGCCCCUCCAAUCGAGAGGAGGACUUUUAUGUUUUUUGAUUGGCAGGUUCUGAUGUCGGCACUCAGCCCGGUGCAAGUACCACUAGCGGGGUCGCAGUGGCCGGCGAGGUUUAGGACAGGGGUUUGGUUGUUUCCGAAAGUAGUGAGGAAAGCUAUGUUAACAAACUGGUAGUUGCCUGAGUUGCAAGCAUCUGCUAGGGUUCCUUCGUUUCCGUUUUGGCCCCAAUAGACCGCAAUUCCGGCGGCUUGGGAGGACUUGCAUGAAGAAAUGAGGAUCAAGAGGGACAGCGUUAGGGCUAGGGUUUGUGUUUUGGAUGCCAUUUUUAUAUGUUUUUUUGGGUUGUUGUUCAAAGUGCUUGGGAGUGGACAUGUACUUAUAGGUGCAGGGGACUUAUCGGUUAAGGUUUAGGGGAAGAAAAGUAUGACAGACGUGUUCUGCAGGUAAGAGUCUUCUGCUUGCAACCGCGUCAAUCACGUUAGGGCCUGUUUAUUUAGUCCAAGUUUCACUUUACAACUUAGAACACGUCAAUUAAAUUAGGUCGGGUUGAAAAUGCAUUUUCCAAAACCACUUUCACACAUAAGCGCUUCUUAUAUUUUCAUAAAAAUGCAAGUGGUUUUAUAAAAAAAAAAACUUGAGGUGUUUGGCGUGUGUUUUUUCAGAAAGCACUUAAAAUAUUUUUUCAACCUAAAAUCACUGAAUUUUUUAUGAUUUCAAAGUUCUUUUAAUUGUUUUGAAGGCACUUCCAACUGAUAUUUUAUAAAAAAUUACUUCUAGAGAGAAUUAUAGCAUGCUAAUUGAGAGAUUCCGAAACUAAAAAGCCAUCAAAUUUGCCAAAAAAAAAAUCUGAUGAGACAAUACGUGGAGAAUCAACACAGCUGUAUCAUCACCAAAAAUUUUCAGUGUGCAGAAAUACAGUCCGGUACAAAGUGUUAUAAUAAAAUUGGUUGAUUUUUUUUUUUAAGUUUCCAACUAAUUAUAUUAUUACACUUGAUGUACCGAUCCGUAUUUCUGAAAAAUCUCUCCUUACCAUCACAUCACAUGAAUGUUUUGGAAAGUUCGUAGAUAGAAACCAAAAUCUCUCCUUAUCAUCACAUCACAUCACAUGAACGUUUGGGAAGCUCGUCGAUAGAAACCAAAUGGAAUAUGCUUUUAGCUGAGGAUGGCCAUUGGCCAGGGACUUCGGUCUAAUCACGAUGCUUUAAUUUCGCAGUCGGAAAAAAACUUUCGAAUAAAAUUUAGGGUAUAUUUAGGAAGUGUUUUUAAAUGAUUGAAAACAUUUUUAGAAAUAUUUUUUUUUAAAAACGUUUCCAGUCAUUUAAAAAAACUUCUUAAACGAGUUUAAUUACUUGUGUAUGGGGCAACAUUUAGCUAGUAAUGGUUCUCAUGAAUUGGAUUGUGGUGAUGUGAAAAUGGGUUUGGGUUAGUUUAGUUUAGAGUUUAUAUUUACUAUCCGGUGCAUGCAAAUGGAAUGUCAAAUCUUUCAGAGAAAUUUUGAUAGAACUGCCACUUAGGGCAACACAUAUUAAACAAACAAAUGUAGGGUUGGAGAAGACUAAAAUACAUGAAUUCUCGUGUUUUCAUAAAUGUGAUCUAAAAAUAAUAUAGCAUGUGCCCUGAGAACAACGUGAUCAGUACCUAAUCGAAGUUCUCUAGUGUGGAAAGAUUCAAGAGGGGUGUGACGCUUCCGACAAAUAAAAAAUCACACAUUUUCGAAUUCGGAAAUGUAUAGAACAGAGCAGAUAUCACUAGAUGAAUGUUAACUGUUUUACAGAAAAUUUAUAAGACAAUUAGAGUUAAACAACAGAAGCUUGCACUUUAAAUGGUUAUGUCCAGCUGCUUUUGGUAUGUAUAUGCUUUUUCCAUGUCUCGAUGUAGUUCCAGUUCACUGCUCAUCAUCCUGGAACAAUGCUUUCGAAACAGAGCCGCACGGCUGGCUACUGUAUUCUCGGUAAUCUUCAUCGUCAUCACAGCUGCGUUGCGAGCAUGAACGUUUGAUUCCUGUCAUUGGGGUUUCACAGACUCUGUCAUCGCAUGAACCUCUAUGAUCCUUCCUUUUAAACAGCUUUCGAAGCGGAUUUGACUUUGGUUUCAAUGGUUUCAGCCGUUUGGGGGCCCAAACUCUCUGCAGAUCGGGCAUCCAUCUUGUGGAUGAAGCGAAUCUCCAAGCCCUCUCUCUCCUCUCUUGAGCUUCAAGUAACUUGCGAGCAUGGUCGUCCUAUUGUUUGAUCUCUUCGACGCUUGGUCUUCCAAUAUCAGUUUUCAGCGGACGAAGAGACUCACCUUCUGCUUGUAAUGAGUCCCAGAUUCUAUAACUUCCAUCCACUUCGACACUCUUCGGUUUUUCUUUACAGGAUCGAUUGCUAUCCUCACUGUUGAGUAAACUAUUAGGGAGUUCUUCCUCAUCAGCAAACAGUAACAAAUCCAUUUUCGUAUAGAUUUUGUGAACCACAUCUUCAAGUGUCUCACAGUACCUGAAAAAUGUCCAAAUUCAGGCUCUUGACAAUUUGACAAAGCAUUUCAUUGAAAAGGUUCAAUCCUUACUACCAUUAUAAUUUAUAAUGUGUUGUAUGGUUUACCUCGUAAUGGUGCUAAGUUAUUUCUACAGUUUUGGGGCAUUUUUUUUGCAGUUUCGGUGCAAUUUUGAUGCAGUUCUUUUUUUUUGCAAUUUUGCUGCAUUGUUGUUGCUGUUUUUGCUGCAUGUUCAUUGAUUAAUAAAAAGGUCGUACCCAGUGCACAAGGCUCCCUUGAUUAAUAUAUGAGAAAAAUAAGACUGUCAUAUGCUUAAAUAGGUGUAUAUUUUAAAUUAUACAUUUUUUUUUCAAAAAUCGAACCGAAACUGUUUGAAACCGUACCGCACCAAACCAAACGGUUUGGUUUCAUUUCAGUUUUGGCUUCAAAACUGCACCGAACCGCACCGCAAAAAAAUUUGGUUUCGGUUGCGGUUUCACUCGAAACCGCACCGAAGCGCACCGCGCCCACCCCUACAGGGGACUUGUCGAUGAAGGUUUAGGGGAAGAGAAGUAUGACAGACGUGUCUUGCGGGUACAAAAUGGGUGCCAGUCUUCUGCAUGCAUGGAACCGCGUGAACCAAGUUAGGGCCUGUUUAGUCCAAGUUUCACUUGACAACUUAGAAAUUUGUCAAUUAAGUUAGGUCGUGUUGGAAAUUCUUUUUUCAAAAACCACUCAUAAGUGCUUUUAAUAUUUUUCGUAAGAAUGCAAGCGUUUUUAGAAAACACACUCAAGGUGCUUAGCGUGUGCUUUUUUUUAGAAAGCACUUUUAAGUGUUUUUUCAACCUAAAAACACUUGUUUUAAAGACACUUCCAACAAACACAUAAUUAAUGGAAAAUUACUUCCAGAGAGAAAUAUAGCAUGCUAUUUGAGAGAUUCCAAAACUAAAAGCUAAAUAGUUAUUAAGCGUGACCUUAACCAAGGUGAAAUAAAAUAUCAAAUUUGACAAACAAUCUGAUGAACGUCAUAGCUAUAUGUAUAGUCAGUAGAUGAGAUAAUCAUGAAACAAAACGUGGAGAAUCAACACAGCCUUAUCAUGGCCAAAAUUUGUCUGUGUGCCAGAACCACGGCCUAGUACACUAAAAGUGUCAUAAUAGAAUUGGUUGGAAAUUCAUUCGGUUACAACUGACUCUGAAGUCUUUAUUUCUGCACAACCACAUAGUGAGAUGUUUGCUUACCAUGCAACCAUGAUGUCCAAUACUCUUGGUACCUCAAUCGUUGUCUUUACCAAAACUGGUUUUAUGGCUAUUCUAUUGAGCCAUUACCGACCUACCGGGAUCAUAUUUGCCUUCACGAAUGAGUGAGUUUUCAAUUUACCUGUCACAAAGGCAUUUAGUUAAAAUUUGUAACUGUAUCAGUCAAAAUAUGCUGUGAAAGUUCUAUUCAUUAGCAAGUACUUUGAUUGCCAUGCAGUAAGAGCAUACAACGGAGAUUGGCUUUGUAUCAAGGCGUAUGUCCAAUAUAUACAUGGAGUUCACAGAAGAUUCUGAAACAAGCUUUAGCAAUGCCUUGACUGUGCUGAAGGUGAUGUUUUGCUGCAGAUUUCCUAAAUUUAUGGCGACGUAUGCUAUUCAACCAUGCCAGCACUGAUGGUUCAUUUUCUGUUGUUCUGUUUGCAGGAGCAAGGAUUGGUAAAGGCAGGAGAAGAGGUCGCACUCGUUCAAAGUGGCAGGCAACCCAUUUGGCGGCUCCAAUCCACUCACAAAAUUCAAGUGCGCAAAAUUUAGGUGCAACGGAGAUGGAAUAAUCGCCCUCGUAACAUAGAUUUCUUCGUCUACACUACAAAAGUUUCAAAUGAUAGCUUUUGUGUUGUACUUCCAGCGGAAUUGUCGUGAUACUUUCUUCCUUUGGUUGUUUUUUUUCUUCUGUUGCACACUUUUGUGAUCCUAUCAAUGUGCUUCUUUUUGUUUCCGAUUUCCCCCUAGUUAAUUUUGGCGUAUGUUUUAGAACUGUAAGUUGUUAAAGUAUAAAUUUGGCAGUUUGAAUGCAAACUGUCUAAAUUUUUUUAAUAGUUCGAUUGAGGAAACAGAUCGUCACACUCACAUUCUAAUAUCCGCCGCUUACCGUUUGUCGUGUGGCCGUUUAACACUGACUAAGGUAGAUCUCACAUCAGAUCAGCACGGGACUAGGUUCCGUGCUCUUGUGAAAGUUAUUCUACGUACGACGUGAUUCUACACAUGGUUUGUGGUUUGGGCUUGAACCGGUCUCUACGAAAUGAGGCAGAUUUUUUGUUUAUUAACAAAGGUCAAAAGUCAAACAAAAAUUGUUGAUACAGACUAUCUUAAACAAAAUUAAACAACAUUCGCUUGAAUAAUUAUCAAAUUGACAAUGUCUCAUAGGUGAUGCUGUCCAUACACUCUUUUUAUUUUUCACUCACUCCUCCCAAUUUUUAACCGUCAGAUCGAAUAAAUUAAAGAUGAUCAAAAGACAAAAAUUAACUGAAGAUAUGUGAAAGAAAAAACAAAAUGUAUAUAUAGCAUCACCUAUCUUAUUAGGAUAAUGACAUCCGAUUUAUUUGAUAUAAUCUUUUAGGGAAACCAAAACGUUGAGUUACAAAAGUCAAACUCUUCCGAUGAUGGAAUAACUAUAUCCAUUUUUAUCAUCACAAAACUCGGACCCUAACAUCACACCACCAUACUUCGACGACUUCUUUAUCACCAGUAGAAUUUCCGAAUUCAGCAAAGCAGCCACAAUAUACCCACUUCUGGCCACCUCAGGAGUGGCCGGCAACCCCAAAAACAUCUUCCCUUUCUAAUACAUUAAUGAUGUCAGUUGGCGUCUUAACAAGAUGGGAGACUUUGGAGUCGCUUUAUUGGGAUCUCCCGAGUACUCGGUACUCUAUGUAUUUUAACCGUUAAAUCUUUGUUUAAAAAUAUAAAAAUCAAAUUCUAACAGUUAAAAUAUUCAAAAUAUCCAUAGUACCGCUCGAAAUUUUUUGAGACAUUAAAUGCAAUCCCUCCAAGAAAUCAUCUCAAAUUUUUUUGAGACAUUAAAUGCGAUCUCUCCAAGAAAUUAUUAGAUUAUACCGUAGUACCAUCUCAGCCGUGGUAGUUUCAUCCAAAGGCUAGCCUUUACAAUAUGAGCUAGCCAGCCUUCAUGCACACAGUGCCUGCCAAUCAUGUAAAACCAUUGACAAUGAUACAUGACAAUUUAUUUGGACCUAUAACUUCAUUUCAUAACUACAUCAGAUAACCGUUUAUGUGCAACUAUAUUUUAUUCAAUUUCAAAAAUUAGCAUAUGCAAUGACAUGUUUUAUCGUAAAAAGUACAAGAAAUUUUCAACGUAUCACAAAUACAAAGUGUUAUACCACAUGUCAUUAUAUAAAGAGAAAUUUUUUAUAUUUUAAGUCUGUCUCCACUUAUAUAAUAUGUGUUGUACCAUCCGAAUUCCGGAUCAGUAAAAGAUCUCUCCAAAAAUACAUAUGCAUGUUUUAUUCAAAAGGUUAGGAAUGAUGCGUCAUCAUCCCUAACGCACUUUAUUAUAAGUAGUAUCAUCCAUUGAGGCAGAGAAGUUAAUUAGAUGCUGUCCUUAAUGGAUGCACUAUAGCCGUUGACAAUGUCAUACUGCCUGCCCCAGAGCAUAAUUCCUCCGUACUUGGGCGAUUUCUUAAUCGUUGGAAGAACUUGUGACUUGAGAGCGUCAGCAGGAAUAAAUCCGCCGCCCGGAGCGGCCUCAGGAGCUGCCGGUAUACCCAAGAACACCUGGGUGGCCGGAACCGAGGCCCAUUGGUUCCAACUGCUCAAAAGAGCGUCGGCAUUACCGUCUGCAUACUGGCAUGGGGGGUUGUUGUAGAACUGAACCCAAACGUAGUCAAAUAAACCGGUUUGGAUAGCGCCGUCUAGGUGAGCAUCCGGGAUCGGACAUUGUGGAGCUGCGGCUAAAUAGACCGUUUUUGCCUGUCCGUUGUGUCCGUUGAGUGACCUGGCGAGCUCAUCAUAGAACUGCGCACCACCCGCCUCAAUGUCGAAAUCAACGCCGUCCAAAACCGCGUCCCCAAGCGGGCGCGAAGCGGACUGACCACCUAAGAAGUUGUUCCAGAUGUAAUCAGCAACUUGCCUUGCAUCAUCAGCUGAAGUGAGAGAGUAACUUCCGGCGGCCCCUCCAAUCGAGAGGAGGACUUUUAUGUUUUUUGAUUGGCAGGUUCUGAUGUCGGCACUCAGCCCCGUGCAAGUACCACUAGAGGGGUCGCAGUGGCCGGCGAGGUUUAGGACAGGGGUUUGGUUGUUUCCGAAAGUAGUGAGGAAAGCUAUGUUAACAAACUGGUAGUUGCCUGAGUUGCAAGCAUCUGCUAGGGUUCCUUCAUUGCCGUUUUGGCCCCAAUACGUCGCGAUUCCGGCGGCUUGGGAGGACUUGCAUGAAGAAAUGAGGAUCAAGAGGGACAGCGUUAGGGCUAGGGUUUGUGUUUUGGAUGCCAUUUUUGUAUGUUUUUUUGGGUUGUUGUUCAAAGUGCUUGGGAGUGGACUUGUACUUAUAGGUGCAGGGGACUUAUCCGUUAAGGUUUAGGGGAAGAAAAGUAUGACAGACGUGUUCUGCGGGUUAGAAAUGGGUGCCAGUCUUCAGCUUGGAACCUCGUCAAUCAAGUUAGCUAGGGCCUGUUUAGUCCAAGAAGUUUCACAUAAAACGCCGAUUAAGUUAGGUCGGGUUGGAAAUGCUUUCUUCAAAAACUACUUACACACGUAAGCGCUUCUUAUAUUUUUCAUAAGAAUGCAAGUGCUUUUGAAAAAAAACACUUGAGCUGUUUCGUGUGUUUUUUUCAGAAAAUACUUUAAAUGUUUUUUCAAACUAAAAAUCCAUUAAAGCUCCUUUACUUGUUUAAGGGCACUUCCAAAAUCAUAUUUAAAGAAAAAUUACUUCUAGAGAGAAUUAUAACAUGCUAAUUGAGAGAUCCCGAAACUAGAAACUAGAUAGUUAUAAUGAAGCGUGACCUUAACUGCUUAAUUAAGUGAAAAAAGCCAUCAAAUUUGACAAAAAGUCUGAUGAAAGGUCAUAGCUGUAUCAUCUGUAGAUGAGAUAAUCAUGAAACAAUGUGGGGAAUCAACACAUCCUUAUCAUCGUCAAAAAAAAAAAUUCACUGUGCUGGAAGCACGUUCAAUUGAACGUUUUGGAAGUUUGUGGAUAGAAACCAAAUGGAAUAUGCUUGUAACCAAAAUUGCUGGCUGCUAUAUACAUCUUGGAUUUUAGCUGAGGUGGCCAUUGGCCAAGGACUUUGGUCUAAUCACGAUGCUUUAAUUUCGCAAUCCAAAAAAAAAAUUCAGAUAAAAUUUAGAACACGUUUUGGGAGUGCUUUCAAAUUACUGAAAGCGAUUUUAGAAAGAAAAAAAAUGUUUAUAUAACUAAUCUUUAAUAAAAAUGCAAGUUAAUCCUCCAAAAGUACUGAAACUAGUGCUUCUUUGAUAAAACACUUCAAGUGCUUUUGGAGCUCAAAAAUAUUAUCUCAAGUGGUUUCAGUCAUUUAAAAACACUUUCUAAACGAGUUAAUGACUCGUGUAUGGGGCAACAUUUAGCAAGUAACGGCUCUCAUGAAUUGGAUUGUGGUGAUGUGAAAAUGGGUUUGGGUAAGUUUAGUUUAGACCAGUCAGCAGUGUUUAAAAUAUCCACGACAUUAUCGAUAUUUUCGUUGAAAUAUCCUUAAAAUUAAGGGUCCAUAAGCAAAAGAAGGAUGAAAUGCAAACUUCACCCUAUAUCGGCAAGAUACAAGAAAACAAUGAAUAUAGACAAUAUGUAACAACUCGUCCCAAGAUUUACUGUAUAUAAAUGGUAUUUUUGUAUUUUCAUCAAGUUUGGGAAUUUAUCUUCCUUUUAAAAUUUGUUUUUGGUCUUAAAUGGUGAUCCAAGGGGACCCACUCCCCUGAUUUUGUCCCCGAGCCCUCUUCUCUCUUUCUUCCUCUCCUCUUCCCUUUCCCCUUUCCCGUAUACUUCUAUUCCUCUCUUCUCUAUGAUCACACUCACACCCAGCUGCACUCCCUGCUCGAGGAAGACGCAAUCACCAUCUAAACCACGUCCCUUUCCUCUUCCUCUUGCCUCUGUGCAACUCGGCGAAACCAAGAAAAUAACCUCCGGCAAGUCCGACGGCUUUCGAAGCCAUUUCCUGCCAAACCACGGCGCGUUGGCCGGCGUGCAAGGUAUCAAUCUCUUCGUCCCGUCAAGUACUAUAACUUUUCUUUUUGUUUCACUCAAUUUAAUUGAGUAUUGAAGAAGUUAUACUCAUUUGAAUCUUACCCAGUUUCCGGCGACCUCCGAGGCUUUCGAGGAAAUUUCAGGCCAAACCAUGGCGAGUCAGACGUGAGGUAUCAUUCUCUUCGUCUCUUCCAGGACUACAACUUUCGUUUUUGUCUCGCUUGAUUUCGUUGAGUAGUGACAAAGUUAUGGCUGUUUAAAGUGGGGUGGUUUUCCGGCCGAAUUUCCGGCCUUCUUCUUCCUUGGCAACAGGCCACCCGGCCUUUCCCUCUCCCUCGGACCUUAGGCCCGUGUUGUCUUAAGCCCAAAACCCUAGCCUUUAGUUUUAAGUUUUAUUAUUUGGUUUUAAAACCCUAAAAAGGGCCUUGGGCCGGUGGUUUUUAAAAAGGGCUUAAAGCCCUGUUUUUCUUUAUUUAUUUUUAUUAAGGCCUUAAGGCCUUGUGAUUUUGUGCCCGUGGGUGUGUGUGUUAGGUGUGUAUGUGUUUAUGCAUGCACAUGCAUGCCGUGUGUGUGUGUGUAUUUGUAGUAUGUGUGUGUUUGGGCUAAAGCCCAAACCCCAAUUCUCACCCUAAAACCAUUUUAACCCAAAAUCCUAGGUUCCUAAAAUCCUUUAAAACCCUAAACCCAUCCAAUCCCAAAUCCCCUAUUUUAUUUAAACCUAAACCCUAAUCCGGAUUUCAAGCCUAAAACCCAUUUGACCGUUGACCCCCGGUCAACGUUGAUUUUAGGGUUGACUUUUCGGGUUUUCGUCCGGGACCCUUCUUAGGGUAAUUCGACGUUCUAAAUCCGUUUCCAAUGUCCAUUUUCCCAAAUUCAAUUGUUAUUAUAUAGUUUUAUUUAUUGGACUCUUUAUGUGCUUAGGGGCAAUUAUUGUGACGUUUCCAUCUUCGCUAGUGGCACAGCUUUUGGCAACUAAGUAUUGUGAGUGGACCCCUUCUAGAAUUACAUGAUUUGAUAAUUUAAUUGCAUAAAUGAUUAGCAUGCCUACGAAUUUAUGAUUUGAUUUAUGUGAAGCCUGAUGAUUUAAUAUAUUGAUUAUCGUCUCGGGUUUUGGUGAGGAAUUAUUUGUUAGCCUAUAUUGAGCUAUAUUUUAAUAUAUCGUAUUUUCUAUUAAAACCAUGAACUGGUAGACUAUCUGAUAGAUGACGAUAGGAUGCUAGAACAUGUUUUUGAACCCCUCUUUAUAGUGUAGACGAUGAUCGGUAACCUAUGCUAUGAAGUGGUUUUUUUUAGAGAGACGUAACUAUUUGUGCGUACCUAGUAGACACUAUGCCGCCUGGGGCAAGGAACUGGUGUUGGCAUUUAGGCCGGGAGAAAUAAUCCCUAGCGAAAGGCUGAGGGACACGGAGACAGGCAGUGGGCCAAGAGGGAGUUAUCUCUGGCUACGGGCACAGAGACUGAGGUGCAAGCAUUGGGCCGGGAGUUAUAUUUAUUCAGUGAUCUUUCUAGCAGCACACUGCGUUUACGAGACGAUUUAUGAUGCGUUUACUGUUUUGAUUUCCGCGAUGUUUUUCCGCGUUAUGGCGUUUGAGAUAUUUUUGGCAUACUAGGAUUUUUAUUAAAUCCAUCACUUAUUAUGCUAGUAGUUUUCAUUUAUAUAAACUUUGGGGGUUAGUAUGUUGAUAAUUGUUUUAUUAUUAUUGUAUAUAUAAACUUGGUCCACUCACCUUUGUUUUGCGCCCCCAUUCAGGACUUAGAAUCAAGGCACCUAAUCCCGGCGUGAAGACACUUUCGCAGCAGCAUCUUCGGAUCCUCUCGAUGUAGGACUCACUCCUUUACUCAUUAAAUUUUAUCUUAAUUCUUUUUAGUGAUUAGAUUUAGUUGUAUGCUCUGAGCACGUUCCUAAAACUUUUAACUCUUAGUUUUUAAAUUCAUAACACUUACUUAUUUCUUAUUCUUAGCUUUUGUAUCAAUUAAUGGCUUUCGUCACCCUCGGGUGUCGGCCAGCAUGUGUCUUCCUGGUAUUCGGGGAAUAUCAGGGUCGGGGCGUGUCACAAUAUUUACGGAUUAAUUACAAAAUUUUGCUAAUACCUAUUGCAGAUUUCGAACUGUAGAAUUUUUUUUAUAAAUUUUUUCUUUAAUUUCAACUAAAUCUGAAUGAGUACUUACCCCAUUGUAAAUUUCCAUCGAAGACUUUCCAACUAUAUCGAUAUUUUAAACACUGGUUUAGACCAACAUGUUUAAUAUCCAGUGCAUGCAAAUAGAAUGUCAAAUCUUUUUGAAAAACUUCAGUAUGACUGCCACUUAAGGGCAACUAGCAUAUUAAAGAGACCAAUGCAAAGUUGGAUGAGACUAAAAUACAUAAAGUCUCAUGUUUUGGUGAGAUGUGGUUUACAAAUGAUAUAGCAUGUGCCCUACGAAAAACGAGAUCGGAUUACCUAAUUGAAGUUUCUCUAGCAUGAAAAAUUCAAGAGGGAUGUGACGGUUCCGGAAAGUAAAAAAUCACACAUUUUUAUUAAUAAUUUUUUUGUUCGAAUUCGGAAAUGUAUAGAACUGAACAAAUGGAAUAGUGGCUCAGUGAUACCAACAAUUUCAUGUUGCAAAUUACAAAAAAAAAAAAAAAAAAAAAAAAAAAAGGAAAUGUUUUACACAAAAUUAAUGACAAUUAGAGUUAAACAACAGAAACUUGCACUUUAAAUGGUUUUUUUCUGCUGCUUUUGGUAUGUAUAUGCUUUUUCCGCACCGCUGGCUACUGUAUUCUCGGUAAUUUUCAUCGUCAUCCCAGCUGCGUUGCGAGCAUGAACGUUUGAUUCCUGUCAUUGGGGUUUCACAUACUCUGUCAUCACAUGAACCUCCAUGAUCCUUCCUUUUAAACAGCUUUCGAAGUGGAUUUGACUUUGGUUUCAAUGGUUUCAGCUGUUUUGGGGCCCAAAUUCUCUGCAGAUCGGGCAUCCAUCUUGUGGAGUAAGCGAACCUCCGAGCCCUCUCUCUCCUCUCUUGAACUUCAAGUAACUUGCGAGCAUGGUCGUCCUUUUGUUUGAUCUCUUCAGCGCUCGGUCUUCCAAUAUCAGUUUUCAGCGGACGAAGAGACUCACCUACUGCUGGUAAUGAAUCCCAGAUUCUAUAACUUCCAUCCACUUCGACACUCUUCGGUUUUUCUUUACAGGAUCGAUUGCUAUCCUAACUGUUGAGUAAACUAUUAGGGAGUUCUUCCUCAUCAGCAAACAGCAACAAAUCCAUUUUCUUAUAGAUUUUGCGAACCACAUCUUCAAGUGUCUCACAGUACCUGAAAAAUUCCAAAUUCAAAGAUUAAUCUAUCUGCUUAAGUUAAUUUUCCAUCUCAAACAAAAAUUGAUUGCCCGCACAUGUACUUCCGGAAAACUAAUUCCAGGAACGGAUUAUUUAAGCAACAUCGUUUCUUCAAGGAUCAUACUGUAGACAUACACUAUUGGCACAUUGCAAAAGUUGUAUAAACAUAUUCCACACUCGUUCAGAAAAACAUGGGUACGAUGUGCGCAUAACUGGCCUAUAUCCUGUCAAUCUACACUGAUAAGGAAAGACACUUUAACUCAUCUAAGAUUAUAAAGACAACCACUUUCCUUAUUUAGCAUUGUUGCAAAGGUAAGUAGGACAUGAUUUGUUAGAUAGGUAGUAAUAUCCCACAUGAAAGUGGAACACAGUGGCACCGGAAAUGUGUAUUUGUUGAGACAUGAACGAUAGACUGAAUGCAGCGUGUGCUAUAUAGCCUUUCAGCGAAAGCCAUAAUGCCUCAGUAAAACAUCCAUUAUAUAAAGUAAAGAAUAAUUUCAAGGGUAGGGGUUUUCAACUGUGGUACAGAUUUAUUACCUGCUUUUUAUGAUCUUUUCAACAUAAUCAUACACUCCAGUCACCAAAGAAGCCCUCCAGAUGACAUCGAAUUUUCUCCAAAAAGGAGCAAAUCUGUUUUACAGACUUCUGUUUUGUAGAUUCAGCAAUACGUGCACCAACCUCUGAUUGUAGUAUCUCCAUCCGGAAAAAUAUCUGCAAUUCAUAUCGUGCACGAGCUGGCGCAAGGAGGCGGCGAAGCACGAAGCCCGGGGCGGCGAUGCCGGGUCGAGGCGAAAUGCGGGGAGGGAAUUGAGGGUUUGGGAGAGGGAAUUGAAAGUGGGGCCGGGGAGGUGGAAAGAGAGGGAGAGAGAAGUGGGGAGCUUGGAGGAGGAGAGCAGCGGAGAGAGGGAGGAGAAGAAGGGUCUGAAGGCGAAGAGAGAGGCGGAGAGAGGAGGGAAAGAGAGGAUGGUUUUGACGGCGGCGAGGAAGGCUGUGAGAAAUGGAGCUGGGUUUUGGAGGUGGAGGAGUGGGUUGAGGCCUAGGAGGAGGACGAUGCGCUGCGUUUUGCCGUAGUCGGCGAUUGGGUCGCCGGAGCUCCGUUCAGAUGCCAUCGCAUUUGCAGGAGGAGAAAGAGACGGACUUGGGUUGCAGAGAAGGGAGAUGCAAAUGUGGAAUUAAGGAACAGUAAACCGAAUACGCAGUCGUUUUAGUAGAAAAACGACGAUACGGUAGAUGCUUGAGCGGGAAACCAAAUUUUGGCUGUAAAGGAAAUGUUUUAGGCCCCGUUUGGGAUUGAGGUGAUUUUAAAAAAAGCCACUGUGAAAAAAAGCUGAGGGUCAUUUUUGUGUUUGGUAAACUGAAAAAAGGGCUUAUUUUGGAAGCUGCUGUGAAAAUAAGCUGAAAAUCAAAGGAAAAGCUGAAGCUGCUAUUUGCUGCUUUGAAAAAAAGCCAGUUUUUUCAAAGCACACAGAGCUACAAUGCUCCUUUAAUGAAAAGACACACUAUCAUCCUGAUUUUUUUUCCAAAAGCACUUUCACAAAAAAGUUUACCAAACACUCUACUGCUUUAUUUCACAGCCGCUUAUUCUCACAGCACAGCCGCUUAUUCUCACAGCAGCUUUUUUUCAAAGCACAGCAAUACCAAACCAGCCCUUAAUCUCAUGAAGGACCUGUUUGGACUGCAUCUAAAUUUGUUAAAAGCGCUUUUAGAGAACAAAAGAGCUUUUGACAUCAGUUGAAAAAAAAAAAAUAUUUAAAGUACUUCUUCACGUGAAAAAAACACAUGGUUUUUAAUGAAAAUUCCAACAUGAUUUGAAUGAAAGUGCUUUCAAAAAGUAUUAUGAAUAGAUAUGCUUUUUUAUAUGCUUCUAUGAAAAGUGCUUUUUGCAAACAAUGUCGGGCUCGUUUGUAAUUACUUUUAAAAUGGUUGAAAGUGUAUUUCGUAAAAAUAUUUUUAGAAACAAUAUUUAGUAAAAUGCAAGUGAAUCCUAAAAAAAACACUUCAAGAAUAGAACAACCAAAGGGGCGAAAACUGUAAACCUCAUAGCAACCGAAUUACAAUUCGAGAACAUACCCGUUACUGAAUCCCAAAUCGCUGGUUCCCAAGUGUAGUCAUGCACAAGCUCGUUUAGAACCAAUAUUUUCUCUAAGAACGAUUUCAAUCAUUUGAAAAACAUUUUUAAACGAACUGAUGUUUUUAGGAGAAACACAAUGAGGAGCAAAUGAUUCCUAGGCGAGAAGAAAAACUAGACAGAAUGUUAAAUAGCACAUUAUGUACCAAUUUUUCUUCAACAAAUUGGAACUACUGAGAAGUUUGGAAACUAAAAAGUAAAGAUUGAUUCUAAGGAUUCUAACCCUGAUGAUUGCUUAUACAGUCGAACUACUUGAAUAGACUGGACUACCGAAGAUAAACUCAUACAUAUACGAAUUAUUAAAAAGUGAAAGAGGCUCAUCUCAGUUUUUUUUUUUUUUUUUAGUUGAAAGAAAAAAAAGGUAAAACAUGGAGAAGAUCAUGAACAGUAAUGGGUUUUAGUAUAUAUAAAUAUAAUUUGUAACUGUAUCUGUCCAAAUAUGCCGUGCAAGUUCUAUUCAUUAGCAGGUACUUUGAUUGCCAUGCAGUAAGAGCAUACAACGGAGAUUGGCUUUGUAUCAAGGCGUACGUCCCAUACACCUCUUUUAUGGGUGAUGCUGUCCACACACUUCUUUUAAUUACCAGUCGUCAUAUAGAAUGAAUUCAAGAGGAUCAAAUGACUAAAAUUAACAGAGAAUAUGUAAAAGAUAAACCAGAGUGUAUGGAUAACACCACCCUAUCUUAUUAGGAUAAUAACAUCCGAUGUGUUUGAUAUAAUCUUUUAGGGACUAACCAAAACAUUGAGUUACAAAAGUCAAACACUUCCGAUGAUGGAAGAACUAUAUCCACUUCUAUCGUCACAAAACUUGGACAAUAACAUCACACCACCAUACUUUGACGACUUCUUUAUCACCGGCAGAAUUUCCGAAUUCAACAAAGCAGCCGGAACAUACCCACUCUUGGCCGCCUUAGGAGCCGCCAGCAACCCCAAAAACAUCUUCCCUGUCUAAUACAAUGAUGUCACUUGGCGUCUUAACAAGAUGGGAGACUUUGGAGGGACUUUAUUGAGUACUCCAGAGUACUCAGUACUCUCAUUUGUUUAAAAAUAUAAAAAUCAAAAUCUAACGAUUAAAACAUCUAGAGUAUCCAUAUAUAGUACUGCUCAAAACUUUUUGAGACAUUGGACGUGAUCCCUCCUAGAAAUUAUUAAGUUAUACAGUAGUACACUUCAGCCGUGAUACUUUCAUUCAAAGGCUAGCUUUAUACUAAUAUGUGAUACUUUCAUUCCAUAUUUGAGAGCCAUUGGAUAAGUAUAAAGCUAACCUUUACAAUAUGAGCUAGUUAGUUAGCCUUCACACACACAGUGCCUGCCUAUCAUGUAACCAUUGACAAUGAUACCCGACAAUUUAUUUGGAGAGAGGGUCCUCACUCAUUUAUUUGGACCUAUAACUUCAUUUCAUAAUAACUCCAUCACAUCAUUUUAUGUACCAUAGUUUAUUCAAUUUCAAAAAUUAGUACACGCAAUAACAUGUUUUAUCGUAAAAUAUACGAGGUUUUUUAGUAUAUUAGAAAUACGAGAUGAUGCACCACAUGUCAUUAUAUAAAUGAAGAGAAAUUUUUUUUUUUUUUAAAUGUGCCUCCACUUAUAUAAUGUAUUGUACCACCCAAAUUCUGAAUAAGUGAAAGAUCUCUCCAAAAAAUACAUAUGCAUGUUUUAUUCAAAAGGUAAGGAAUGAUGCGUCAUCAUCCCUAACACACUUUAUUAUAGUAGUAGCAUCAAUUGAGGCAGAGAAGUUAAUUAGAUGCUGUCCUUAAUGGAUGCACUAUAACCGUUGUCAUAGAACCUGCUCCAAAGCAUAACUCCUCCGUACUUGGGCGAAUUCUUAAUCGUUGGAAGAACUUGUGACUUGAGAGCGUCAGCAGGAAUAAAUCCGCCGCUUGGAGCGGCCUCAGGAGCUGCCGGUAACCCCAUGAACACCUGGGUGGCCGGAACCGAGGCCCAUUGGUUCCAACUGCUUAAAAGAGCGUCGGCAUUACCGUCUGCAUACUGGCAUGGGGGGUUGUUGUAGAACUGAACCCAAACGUAGUCAAAUAAACCGGUUUGGAUAGCGGCGUCCAGGUGAGCAUCCGGGAUCGGACAUUGUGGAGCUGCGGCUAAAUAGACCGUUUUUGCCUGUGCGUUGUGUCCGUUGAGUGACCUGGCGAGCUCAUCAUAGAACUGCGCACCACCCGCCUCAAUGUCGAAAUCAACGCCGUCCAAAACCGCGUCCCCAAGCGGGCGCGAAGCGGACUGACCACCUAAGAAGUUGUUCCAGAUGUAAUCAGCAACUUGCCUUGCAUCAUCAGCUGAAGUGAGAGAGUAACUUCCGGCGCCCCCUCCAAUCGAGAGGAGGACUUUUAUGUUUUUUGAUUGGCAGGUUCUGAUGUCAGCACUCAGCCCCGUGCAAGUACCACUAGGGGGGUCGCAGUGGCCGGCGAGGUUUAGGACAGGGGUUUGGUUGUUUCCGAAAGUAGUGAGGAAAGCUAUGUUAACAAACUGGUAGUUGCCUGAGUUGCAAGCAUCUGCUAGGGUUCCUUCGUUGCCGUUUUGGCCCCAAUAGAUCGCAAUUCCGGCGGCUUGGGAGGACUUGCAUGAAGAAAUGAGGAUCAAGAGGGACAGAGUUAGGGUUAGGGUUUGUGUUUUGGAUGCCAUUUUUGUAUGUGUUUUUUUGGGUUGUUGCUCAAAGUGCUUGGGAGGGGACAUGUACUUAUAGGUGGAGACUUACUGGUUAAGGUUUAGGGGAAGAAAAAUAUGACACACGAGUUCUGCUUGUAAGAAAUGGAUGCCAGUCUUCUGCUUGUCAAUCAAGUUAGCUAGGGCCUGUUUGGUCGAAGUUUCACAUGAAACGUCGAUUAAGUUAGGUCGGGUUGGAAAUGCUUUCUUCAAAAACCACUUACACACGUAAGCUCUUCUUAUAUUUUUCAUAAUAAUGCAAGUGCUUUUGGAAAAAACACGAGAGGUGUUUCGCAUGUGUUUUUUUCAAAAAGCACUUCAAAUAUUUUUUCUACCUAAAAAUCCAUUAAAGCUCCUUUACUUGUUUUAAAGAAACUUCCAAAAUAAUAUUUAAAGAAAAAUUACUUCUAGAGAGAAUUAUAACAUGCUAAUUGAGAGAUCCCGAAACUAGAAACUAGAUGGUUAUAGUGAAGCGUGACCUUAACUGCUUAAUUAGGUGAAAAAAGCCAUCAAAUUUGACAAAAAGUCUGAUGAAAGGUCAUAGCUGUAUGCAUAAUCCGUAGAUGAGAUAAUCAUGAAACAAUACGUGGGGAAUCAACACAGCCUUAUCAUCGUCAAAAAAUUUUAGUGUUCUAGAAACACGAUCUGAUAUACAAAAUGUUUUAACAUCAAUUGAACGUUUUGGAAAUUUGUGGAUAGAAACCAAAUGGAAUAUGCUUGCUAGCUGCUAUAUACAUCUUGGAUUUUAGCUGAGGUGGCCAUUGGCCAAGGACUGCGAUCUAAUCACGAUGCUUUAAUUUCGCAGUACGAAAAAAAUUUCAGAUAAAAUUUAGAACAUGUUUAGGGAGUGCUUUCAAAUCACUGAAAGCGAUUUUAGAAAGAAAAAAAAUGUUUAUACAACUAAUUUUUAAUAAAAAUGCAAGUUAAUUCUCUAAAAGUAUUGAAAUUAGUGCUUCUUUGAUGAAUUACUUUAAGUGCUUUUGGAGCUCAAAAAUAUUUUCUCAAGUGGUUUCAGUUAUUUAAAAACACUUUCUAAACGAGUUAAUGACUCGUGUAUGGCAACAUUUAGCAAGUAAUAGCUCUCAUGAAUUGGAUUGUGGUGAUGUGAAAAUGGGUUUGGGUAAGUUUAGUUUAGAUCAGUCACCAGUGUAUAAAAUAUCCAUGAAAUUGUCGAUAUUUUCAUCAAAAUAUCCUUAAAAUUUAGGGUCCAUAAGGAAAAGAAGGGUAAAAUAUAAAUUUCAACCUAUAUUGGCGAGAUAUAAGAAAACAAUGAAUAUCGACAAUAUUUACCAAUUAACUACAAAAUGUUGCUAAAACCUAUUGCAGAUUUUGAACUUUAGAAUUUUUUUUUUAUAAAUUUUUUCUUUAAUUUCGACUAAAUCUGAAUGAGUUGAUACUUGAUAUGCUUAUCCCAUUGUAAAUUUCCAUCAAAGACUUUCCAACUAAAUCGAUAUUUUAAACAUUGGUUUAGACCCACAUGUUUAAUAUCCAGUGCAUGCAAAUAGAAUGUCAAAUCUUUCAGAAAAACUUCAGUAGGACUGCCACUUAAGGGCAACUAGCAUAUUAAAGAGACCAAUGCAAGGUUGGAUGAGACUAAAAUACAUAAGAGCAAUUCCACCGGGGACCAAAUGUCCCAGCCUCCAGUCCAAAAACCAAGCCAGGCCUCUGUCAAUCAAGUCCACCCCAACAAACUGACUGGUACCCAGCCCGAGUUGGGCAAGAGCCCAGCCCAAAAGAGACUGAGACAGAAGCCGGGGAAGAAGCCUGGCGCGUGCACUUCACGUAGCCGUUUGGCGAGUGCCCGACAAGCUUUCAGACGCCGGGGCCCGCGUGCAGGCGCUGUCAGUCCCCCCCCCGAGUUGCGACGUGGCUACCUCUCUGCCGUUGGAUUUCCAACGGCUAGUUUUCUAGACCGUUGGAUUUCCAACGGUAAAAAAAUUUUAAAUUUUACUUUUAAACUAGACCGUCGGAUCAAAGAUCAACGGUCCACGUUUUUUUCACAAAAAGUAAAUUAAAAAAAAAAAAAAAGGGCCCAACGGUCAGAAAUAUGACCGUUGGCCACGUGGCAACUCCCUAGCUCUUGGAUUUGAAUAUUUUUCAAAUCCAACGGUCCAGAUUAAUUAACUAUAUUAAAAUUCAUUAAAAAUUAUUAAAAAAUACAGAAAAAUUAUUAAAAAAUACAGAAAAUUUUAAAAAAAUUACAGAAAAUUUUGAAAAAUGUUAAUUUUUUUUCCUAUAAAUACCUAACCCUCAUCUUCUACCUUUACACCACAUUCCAAUAUUUUCUACACUUUCUAUACUAUCUACAUUUCAAAAUAUUUUCUACACUUUAAGAGAAAAAAAAUGUCUUCGUGGAAGCUCAUUGAAGAUGUUACGUUGUGUGAAUGUUGGGUUCACACUACUCAUGAUCCGAUUACGGGUAAUGAGAUGGAUAAGCGAGAGAUGUGGAGUAAAAUUACGAAAGCGUUUUGUGAUGUACAUGGAGAAAACGCCAGAACUAGUCAAGGUCUUCAAGGUCGUUGGAAAAAACUCAAUGCAUCAUUUACUUGUUGGAAAAACGCCAUCUCUCAUGCUUCCGGUAACCUCCGUAGUGGGACAAGUUUAGCGGAUCAGGUGACAAUAUUUUUUAUUUAUUUAUAUGCAUUCCACUCACAUUAAUAUUUUGAUUUAUUUAAUUUCGUAUGUAAUUUUUAUCUUAUUUCUUAUGUAAUUUUUAUUUAAUUUCUUAUGUAAUUUUUAUUUAAUUUCUUAUGUCAUUUUUAUGUAAUUUAUAUGCAUUCCACCCGUAUUAAUAUUUUGAAUUUAUUUAUUUGUGUUACACCCGCAUUUUUUAACACUAUGUUAUCCCACUUUUUUAUAGACACUACAAGCUCAAGCAUUCUACAAUUCAAAGAACGGGAACAAAUCAUUCAAUAGAUUGGAAUGUUGGCAAAUUGUCAAAGAUUGCCCUAAAUACAAAAUUGUGGCAACUGGUCCAGAAGUUGUCAUGCACGGUAUGGGUCUACAUAGUUCUCCAGAACCAGACAUGGCCGAACAAGAAGCCGACACAUUUCAAGACACGGAAGGGACGGCUGAACAAGUGCCCGAGACCCAACCGACUCGUCAGUCCCUAAGGCCUCUAGGUAAAAAGGCGUCAAAGAAAAAAGGUAGUUCUUCCAAAAAAUGACUACACUAAAUAUAUGGAGGAACUUGCUCGCCAAGGUGAACUAAACUUGGCACGAGAAAAGGCUAGAGAUGAGGAAAAAGUUGCUGCUAUGGCAGCAAUAUUAGCAGCUACUGAGGCCCGUGAUGCGGCGGCUGAAAGACAAAGAGAAGUAGUUAAUCGAGAGAACGAGCUGGUUAGAGAAGCACUUCAUCGAGAAAAUGAAUUGCUUCGAGAAGAAAGGAUGGCUCAAGCAUCGUGAUCGUGACACUAUGAGCAAGUCUCUAGUAGGACUGUCUCCGAAUUCUAAAUAUUUUUUAGACAUCGGAAAAAGAGAUGCCAUGCGUAGGAGGCGUGCAAGAGAUGCGGAAACAAGUCAAGGGGGUUCUAGCUACACAAAUCAUGGCAACCAAGAUCCUAGCACCACAUAUCCUAACUCGAGAGACUUUAUUUAAUUUCUUAUGUAUUUUUAUGUAUUUUCUUUCUUUUUUCUAGUAGAACUUUAUUUAAUUUCUUAUGUUUUUUCUUUUUUUUAGGUUUGAACUUUAUUUAUUUUCUUAUGCAAUUUUAAUGUAAUUAUUUAUUUAAUUUCUUUUGUACUUUAUUUAAAACACAUGAAAUAAGAUUACACAUAAACUCACCAAAUAAAUUUAAAAACAAAACACAUUACAUAGAAUUACAUAAACUCACCAAAUAAACUUAAAAACAAAACACACUACAUAGAAUUACAUAAACUCACCAAAUAAACUUAAAAACAAAACACACUACAUAGAAUUACUUAAACUUAAAAAAAAAUACAAUUUAUUCUUCAACCACAAGCCUCAUUCUAAUUAUCUUCGCCUCCAUGCAAUCCCCACUGGUGCUCAAUCAAGUCAUUCUGGCGGGUUACGUGCCAGUAUGGCUCUUGCACAUUAGUGUACCGCUGAACGAUCAAUUCAUUGUAACGUCCAUCACGUUCCAACGGCUCGUGUUGCACUGGAUCUUCGGUCCCAUCAUGAGCACAAUAAAUACGUGUUCUUGAGUUGUUCAUCGGAUCUGGCUCAUAUUCAUCGACGGCAUCAUAAUCAUACUCAUCUUCAACAAUCAUGUUAUGGAGAAUAAUACACGUCAUCAUGAUGGAUCGAAGAGCCUCGACAUCAAACAUUCUAGCUGCAGCCCUGACAAUCGCCCAACGAGCUUGCAGGAUACCAAAACAACGCUCGACAUCCUUCCUACACCCUUCUUGACAUUUUGCAAAGUGUUUUUCCUUUUCAGUCUGUGGAUGUGGCACUGUUUUGACAAAUGUUGACCACCUUGGGUAAAUGCCAUCUGCAAGGUAGUAUGAUCCCUCGUAUUGGGUACCAUUAACCCAAUAUGUGCAUCUCGGCGAGUUUCCUUGCAGCAGUUCGUCGAACACUGGGGAUUGGGCAAGGACAUUUAGGUCAUUUUGAGCUCCUGGAACACCAAAAAAAGCAUGCCAAAUCCAUGUAUCAAAUGAAGCCACCGCUUCCAAAAUGAUGCUUUUGGCUCCUUUUCUGUCGCCAUAUGCUCCUUGCCACGCACUUGGACAGUUUUUUCCAAGUCCAGUGCAUGCAGUCGAUGCUUCCAAUCAUGCCAGGGAAGCCUCGCAUCUCACCCUUCCUCAGAAGCCUUCGCAUGUCCCUUGACGUGGGUGUCCGGAGGUACUCUUUGGUGUAGAGGGCUUCAAUUGCAGAGCAAAACCGCAUCAGGGACUCCAGAACAGUUGUUUUUCCCAUCCUCGCGAUCUCAUCCACUUGAUCUGCAGAUGCUCCAUAUGCAAGCAUUCGCAAGGAUGCCGUAAUUUUUUGCUCGGGAAUAAGACCUAGAACAUGAAAAGCAUCCUCUUUUUGCACAAAGUAUGAAUCAUUGUUGCAAAUAUCACUCAUGAUUUUGUUGAACAAAUGUCGUUGCAUUCUAAAACGCCGUCUAAACAUGAUCAGGGAAUAUGCUAUUGGGAAUAAAAUAGUCUUCCAAUAGAUUUUUACCUCGUUUUUCCCUUUUUCUAUCGAGGUUUGCAACACGUCUUGGUUUGGCUAUCUGACCCACGGCUUCCAUGACACGGCGGGAAUGUGAGGCCUUCUGCCUUCUAUGGUGAUCAUCCUCAUCCUCCUCCAUGAAGAAAGCCUCAUCUCCACCUCCACCUUCCUCGAGAUUGGCCAAUUCUGCCUGUUGUGCCAACAACCUUUGUUGUUGCUCUUGCAACUGCUUAUACACCCUUCUUGAAGAAGACAUUGUAAUAAGAACUCAAGAUUUGAAAAUGAUGAACAAGGAUUCUGAGCUAAAAAGAAGGAUUGAGCUUGGUGUGAGGAUGGAUGUAGGGAUGUAGGGUUUAUAUGGACAAAAAAAGAAAGGAUGAGGUUCUGGACAAUGCCACGUGGCACUACGUGAUUGGUUGAAAAUCUUAUCGAAAUCUUGGCUAAAUUAUUGUAAACCGGAAGUGACACGUGGCGUGUCAGGAUUGGUCGAGAAUAUUAUCGAAAAUCUAUCCACAAAAUAGUACGUUCGGAUAAUGACACGUGGCAUGACGUGAUUGGUUGAAAAUCUUAUCGAAAUCUUGGCUAAAUUAUUGUACCAUGGAAGUGACACGUGGCGUGUCGGGAUUGGUUGAAAAUAAUAUCGGAAAUCUAUUCACAAAAUAGUACGUUCAGAUAAUGACACGUGGCGUGACGAGAUUGGUUAAAAAUCCUAUCCGAAAUUAAAACUAUUUUAUUUUUUUAUUCUUUAUUUUAAAUGGGUUAAAAAUCUUAUCCGAAAUAAACUUAAAAAAAAAACACACCAAAUAAAUGCGCUGGGUGCUAGCGCAUUUUUUUAGGGGUGGAGAUGCCUUGGCCUAUUACUGUUCACUCCAGUCUAUUACUGUUCAUUUGAGUGGAUAAAUGCGCUGGGUGCUGGCGCAAAGUCCACAGGGGUGGAAUUGCUCUAAAGUCUCGUGUUUUGAUGAGAUGUGGUCUACAAAUGAUAUAGCAUGUGCCCUACGAAAAAUGAGAUCGGAUUACCUAUUUGAAGCUUCUCUAGUAUGAAAAAUUCAAGAGGGAUGUGACGGGUCCGGAAAAUAAAAAAUCACACAUUUUUAUUAAUAAUUUUUUUGUUCGAAUUCGGAAAUGUAUAGAACUGAACAAAUGGAAUAGUAGCUCAGUGAUACCAACAAUUUCAUGUUGCAAAUCACAAAACAAAAAAAAAGGAACUGUUUUACACAAAAUUAAUGACAAUUAGAGUUGAACAACAGAAGCUUGCACUUUAAACGGUUUUUUUCUGCUGCUUUUGGUAUGUAUAUGCUUUUUCCAUGUCUCGAUGUAGUGCCAGUUCACAGGUCAUCAUCCUGGAACAAUGCUUUCGAAACAGAGCCGCACGGCUGGCUACUGUAUUCUCGGUAAUCUUCAUCGUCAUCCCAGCUGCGUUGCGAGCAUGAACGUUUGAUUCCUGUCAUUGGGGUUUCACAUACUCUGUCAUCACAUGAACCUCUAUGAUCCUUCCUUUUAAACAGCUUUCGAAGCGGAUUUAACUUUGGUUUCAAUGGUUUCAGCUGUUUUGGGGCCCAAACUCUCUGCAGAUCGGGCAUCCAUCUUGUGGAUGAAGCGAAUCUCCAAGCCCUCUCUCUCCUCUCUUGAGCUUCAAGUAACUUGCGAGCAUGGUCGUCGUUUUGUUUGAUCUCUUCAGCGCUCGGUCUUCCAAUAUCAGUUUUCAGCGGACGAAGAGACUCACCUUCUGCUGAUAAUGAGUCCCAGAUUCUAUAACUUUCAUCCACUUCGACACUCUUUGGUUUUUCUUUACAGGAUUGAUUGCUAUCCUCACUGUUGAGUAAACUAAUAGGGAGUUCUUCCUCAUCGGCAAACAGUAGCAAAUCCAUUUUUGUAUAGAUUUUGUGAACCACAUCUUCAAGUGUCUCACAGUACCUGAAAAUGUCCAAAUUCAAAGAUUAAUCUACCUGCUUAAUUCUCCAUCUCAAACAAAAAUUGAUCACCUGCAUUUGUACAUCAGGAAACUAAAUGCAGGAAUGAAUUAUUUAAGCUCCAUCAUUUCAAGGAUCAUACCGUAGGCUAAUAUGCUAUUGCAGAAGUUGUAUAAACAUAUUCCUCACUCGUUCAGAAAAACAUGCCUACGAUGUGCGGAUAACUGGCUUAUACCCUGUAAAUCUACACUAAUAAGGAAACACACUUAACUCAUCUAAGAUUAUAAAGAUAAUCACUUUCCUUUUUUAGCAUUAUUGCAAAGGUAAGUAGGAGAGCAUUGGAUGGGCAGUAAUAUCCCACAGGAAAGUGGAAACAGUGGCACCGGAAAUGUGUAUUUGAUGAGACAUGAACGGUAGACUGAAUGAGUGUCGAGAAAGCCAUAACGACUCGGUAAAACAUCCAUUAUAUAAAGUAAAGAAUAAUGCGAAAGGCAGGGGUUUUCAACUCUGGUACAGAUUUAUUACCUGCUUUUUAUGAUCCUUUCAACAUAAUCAUCUACACUCCAGUCACCAAAGAAGCCCUCCAGAUGACAUCGAAUUUUCUCCAAAAACGAGCAAAUCUGUUUUACAAACUUCUGUUUCAUAGAUUCUGCAAUACUUGCACCAACCUCUGAUUGUAGUAUCUCCAUACGGAAAAAUAUCUGCAAUUCAUAUCUAGUACUAGGUGAAGGAAAAGUGUAAAUGUAAUUGGAGACAAAUUUUCAUAUUGGUAGAGUUAUAACUGGAUUAAUGCAUAAUACAGAAGACAGUUCAGUUAUAAAUGAGAAAGGAUACUCUCGAACUAUUUUUCCAGAAGUCAGUCCUUCAGAUUCUGAAUCGGAUGCUUUAACAAACGGGCCGGAGCUUUUCUGCCUUGCAGUGAUAUCCUUGGGAUCUCUCAGUAGAAGUUUUAACACCUCAGCAGAAACCAAAUCAUCAGUAGCACCAGAUUUUACAAGGGAAGUUUGACUCUCUGAAAGGGCUUCUGUUUCCUGCUUUUUAUUUAACCAAUAUAUGGAUGAAUUCACAAGCCGAUAUGCCAAUGCCCCCAAGUCUACUGCUUCAUAUUCAAGCCCCUGUUGUAUCUUGUUGGAUAGACUACUGAAAAAAUCUUCCGACGUUUCUGAUCUAAAUUCCAAAGCAGCUUCAUCUUGUAUGCCAGAAGCCACAGUCAAAGAAUUUUCUCCAAUGGAAGGAGAUGAAGAAAUUGGCUGUUCACUUUCAUGGUGCAAGUUAUCCAACCUAUUGUCCAUCCCUUUUCUAUUGAGCUGGUCUGCCUGGGAUUCUUUCUCCACUAUUAGACCACGAUCGCUAGACUUCUUAAUUUGUUUCAUCCAGCAUUUCAGAAAUCGUAUCUUUUUUGAGUUAUAACAUUCCCUGGCAAAGUAAACCUCUUCCAAACCUAUCUCUGAGUGUUCAAAUGCUGCCUUGUAGAAGGCACUCCAUGUGAGAUCUUGUAGCAACUGUGAAUUUCUUUUGUUAUUUCUCUUCCUUCCCUCCUUGCCUGCAGAAUGCUUAUUGGAUGGCCCAGUUUGGUCCAAAUCAGCAUUCGGUUCGCAAAUCCCAUUCUUCAUAUUUCGACUUGAUUGGUCUGCUUUUGCUCCACCAAUAUCAUGCACUUUUGUCUGAGGGUGAAAUCCUUCAUCCACAAUAAACAGCCGAGCCGAAGAAACUGUGAAAGGUUUGAGAAUUCCGGUAGACGAUACACCACUGUCACUUGAAAGAGACACUAAUGCUCCAUGACCAUUCCUAUAUAAGAAACUCAAGAGAAUCUGCCAAAUGGGUGCUGACUUUCUCUUUGCAUUCUCACCCAAGUCCACUGCUACCACUUCUAGAACCUUAUCUGCAUAAUAAUUGCCAGAACUUUCUUUUCCAUCUUCACCAGGUUUUCCCAAAACAUCACAGACAAGGACUGGAUCAGAUAAGUGCCCCUUGAAUUUCAGAAACUCAUUGUACUUUUGCAAAGCCUUAACCUGGAACUUUGUCACGCCUUUGACAAAAUACCCCCAGAACAAUUCCUUCAGUUUACCACCCUUUGUUUGUGAAUUCAUGAUUUCUAGGGAAAAGAAAGCAUCAUCAGCUGCAUUUCUAGGCAACUUCUUCAAAUCAACCAAUUGAAGAUCACAAACCUUGCAUUCCAAAGGCUUCCCACUUACAUCUAAGAUCUCGAGACUCAACUGCGCAUUGACUUUCUUAUGACUAUCAUCACAACCGAAAAACUUGGAUGAAAUCCCUAUCUCGGGAUAAAUCAAACCAAAGGAAACAAGAGCAGAGCCAAGAAUAAUCCAACCAGUCGAGCAAAAUCCCCAUCCCAAACUCCUAACCCCACUCUCGAAAAACCCAAAUCUCGUCUUAUCCUCAUCGUUCCCAACCUUACCCUCACCACAUUCUAAUUCAUACCUGACAUCAACCCAGCUACACUGAAUAUCUCUACUCACAAAUGCUUCAUUCACAUUCUCAAAGAAACCCCUAAAUCUCUCGGAAAACGCUUUCACAUUUUCCAAAGACUCGUCACCCACACCCACUGUUAGGUCACAACUUCUAAAUUCCCUUUCUCGACCUGCUAGUAGCUGAUAGUAAUGGCGGUGAGUGAGUGGGAAGGAAGAUAGAGAGAGAUAGAAAGUUUCUUGUAAUAUUGUUUUUCUAAUUCAAUCCUGCAGAACAAUGCCACAAUUUGGUUCUUAUACAACCAUCCUUCUCACAAUGCCAGCUGGCUACUAACAAUAACGACAUGUAGCUAAAUAGUUUUCCACUAUUAUUCUAACCACUAUUAUAAUCAUAACACUACCCCUCCCUUACAAAAUAAACCUUGUCCUCAAGGUUAGAAUUAAAGACUGAAAUCAGGAAAUCUGGCAGCAAACUCGUCAUAAUCCUCCCAUGUAGUUUCGUCCUCUUUGUUGUUCUUCCACUGGAUUAACAACUGAACUCCAGCAGCUUGGCCCUUCUUGUAGACCCUCAUUUGUAGCACCUUGAGUGGUUCGAGUGGUAGCAACCCAUCAUCAGUGACAGUAGGCAAGAAUGGAGUUAUGUGACCUUGUCUCCCAAGUGCUUCUUCAAGCAACUAACAUGAAAGACUGGAUGAAUUUUUGAAUUCUCAGGCAGUUUCAAUCGGUAGGCAACCUUCCCAAUAUUUUCCAAAACCUCAUAAGGACCAUAGUACCGGGGAUGAAGCUUAUGGUAAGCAUGAGAUGACAAAGAUUGCAAUUGAUAGGGAAUUAAUUUCAAAUACACCAAAUCUCCUUCCUCGAAAACCCUCUCACUCCGAUGCUUAUCUGCUUGUGUUUUCAUCCGGUUCUGAGCUACUAGUAAAUUGGUCCUGAGCAUUGCUAAUAUUUUGUCCCUAGUUAGCAGCCCUUGCUCCACUAUAUCCAACUUAGCAGUGCCAAGCUCAUAAGACGCGAUGUGUGGUGGUGGAUAACCAUAGACCACUUCGAAGGGGGUGAACUUUGAGGAAGUGUGGUAGGAAGUGUUAUAGCUCCAUUCUGCCCAUGGAAGCCAGUGGAGCCACUUCUUAGGUUGACAGCUAGUGAAGCAUCGCAAGUAAGUUUCAAGGCACCGAUUCACCACCUCUGUCUGGCCAUCACUCUGUGGAUGGUAACCCGAGCUCAUACACAACUUGGAGCCUUGCAACUUAAAAAAAUUCUUUCCAAAAAACACUCAUGAAAAUGGUGUCCCUGUCACUCACAAUGGUAGAGGGCAUCCCAUGGAGUUUAAACACAUUAUCAACAUAUUCCUGAGCUACCAUGCUUGCCGUAUACGGAUGUGCUAAGGGGAUGAAAUGAGCAUACUUGGACAGCCUGUCUACGAUUACCAGGAUCACUGAUUUGCCUUUGCACAGAGGUAAACCAGUGAUGAAAUCCAUGCUUAUAUCCUUCCAUACAUGUGUAGGGAUCGGCAGAGGUUGAAGUAAUCCGGGAGGGGAAAUGGUUUCAUACUUAUUUUGCUGGCAUUCCCGACAUUCAGCCACCCAUGACCUGAGAUCUUUCUUCAUUCCUACCCAAUAGAAGCCCCUCUUCAAUAUCUGAUAAGUCUUUAGAACCCCUUUCAUGGCCUGCACUUGGAGAAGAGUGAUGUUCCUCAAAGACCUUCCUUUUCCAACUUGAAUCUGGGCUAAGCACGAUCCGUCCUUUGUAUUUGAGGAAACCGUUGUCUAAAUGGUACUUGGACAGAUUGGGGUCAAUUGCAGCAGCUUAAGAAUAUGCUAACACCUUCUGCACCUUGCUUUGAAUCCAACUAUCUUGUUCUAACCCUCUCCGAAGUUCAUCUAGCCACCCGAAGUAGGGGUAUGUGAUAGCUUUGCACUCCAAUAAGUCACUGAGAGGUUUCUCUUGUAAUUGAGACGAACCAACUACUCGAGAUAAGGCAUCAGCCAUUAUGUUGUCAUUGCCUUGCCUAUAUUGUAUCUCAUAAUCAAAUCCCAACAACUUGGCCACCCAUUUCUGUUGGAACGGGGUAGUAGUUCUUUGACUCAGAAAGUAUUUCAAGCUGCUAUGAUCUGUCUUUAUGAUGAAAUGGCGCCCUUGAAGGUAGUUUUGCCAUUUUUUGAUAGCACUAACAAUGGCAAUCAACUCUCUUUCGUAUGUAGACAAUGCUUAAUUCCGUGGUCCCAAUGCUUGACUUGUGAAAGCUAUAGGUCUGCCAUUCUGUUGCAACACAGCCCCUAUUCCAUUGCCAGAUGCAUCACAUUCCAAAGUGAAGGGAAUAGCAAAAUUGGGUAAGGCUAAUAGCUGCGGAGAAGUCAUUGUUCUUUUUAAUGCUUGGAAAGCUGCCGUGGCUUCAGGGGACCAAUUGAAACCAUCAUUUUUUGUUAGUUGAUACAAGGGUUGACACACCUUGCCAUAACCGGGGAUGAAUUUUCUAUAAUACCCUGAGAGCCCGAGAAAUCCCCUCAACUCUUUGACAUUUUUCGGUAUCGGCCAAUCUAUAAUUGCUUGAAUUUUAGUAGGAUCUGCAGCCACCCCAUCACGAGAGACGAUGUGCCCCAAGUAUUCCACCUGUGAUUGGCCAAAAGAGCAUUUCGAUUUCUUCACUGCUAAUUGGUGUUUCUGUAAUAACUCCAAAGUUUGGUGCAAGUGUGAAAGAUGGUCCUCCCAGGUCUUGCUGUACACCAAAAUGUCGUCAAAGAACACCAAGAUGAAUUUCCGGAGGUAAGGCUUAAAAAUGUCAUUCAUAAGGGCUUGGAAAGUGGCAGGAGCAUUUGUAAGACCAAAGGGCAUGACUAAGAAUUCAUAAUGCCCUUGGUGAGUUCGGAAGGCAGUCUUUUCCACAUCGGAGGGACAUACGGAUCUGAUGAUAUCCAGACCUAAGAUCAAGCUUAGAAAAAUACUGAGCGCCAUGCAAUUCAUCUAACAAAUCAUCCACUAAUGGAAUAGGAUAUUUAUCCUUAAUGGUAAUGCUGUUCAAUUCACGAUAGUCCAUGCAAAGCCUCCAAGUGCCCUCCUUCUUCUUGACCAAGAGAACUGGAAAUGAAAAGGGACUAUGACUUGGCUGGAUGAAUCCAGCAUCUAAAAGUUCUUGCACAGCUCGUUCAAUCUCAGUUUUUUGCAUAGGACCAUAAUGGUAUGGUCUAAUACUCGGAGGCUUGGAACCAGGAAGCAAUGGAAUCUGGUGAUCAUGAGCCCGUGGAGGUGGUAAGGUAGUAGGAGGCUUAAAAACCGUUUCAAAUUGCCUGAGCAUACCCUGCAGCUCAAUGAGUUGCUGGGGAUUCAAGUUGGAUGCCUCCAACGGAUUAGUUUCCAUUGAAUACAAUAAGACGCCCCAAUUAGAGUAUUUAAACUCUUUUUCAAGCUGUUGACAAACAGUAUCCUGUACCAAGUACGCUGGAGCAGUGGAAUGAACAAGUUUAUAGUGGUCUUUUCCCACAGAAAAUUCCAUGGUUAAGUUGUGAAAAUCCCACAAAACUGGACUCACAGAUGAGAGCCAUUUCACACCCAAUACAACAUCGCAACCCCCUAGAGGAAGUGCGUAGAGGUUAGUGUGGCAGCGAUAUGCACCCAAUUCCAAGGGAAUUUGUUGGCAACAGCCUUGACUUCGGACUUUACCCCCAUCGGCAAUCAUGACAUCGAAGGGUUUGGUGGUGUGACAAGGCCACCCGAGCUGCUUAAGCAACCUAGAAUCCACAAAAUUGUGGGUGCUACCAGAGUCAAGUAGUAUGGUAACAGGUAGAGUGUGAAGCACACCAGCCACUUUCAUGGUUUGUACCGUGGAGGGCUCAGUAGUGCCAUAGAACGCACAAGCACUCAACUCCAUGCUUGAUAGGGAAAGAUCAAUAGGCUCCAGUAAUUCACACUCUGUAGGUUCCAGCAAUUCACACUCGGUAGGCUCCAACUCAUUACAAACAUCAAGCAUAAGGAGCUGUUUAUUAUGGACACAUUUGUGCCCUCGAACCCACUUUUCAUUACAGAACCAACACUCGCCCUUGUCCUUCUUCCGUUGAACUUCCUCGGGGGUAAGUUUCUUAUAAGGGAGGGUUUGAGGAUGAGGCCUGGUAAGGGAAGGUAGAGGUAAGGCGAGAGGAGGUUUGAGUGGGGGAUGAGGUUUUGGGGGAGAUGGUUUCAAGUCCGUGAGUUUAGCAUUUAAUUGGGCAGCAAAGGAAAUGGCCUCAUGAACUGAGGAAGGGCGAAGCAAUUUAACAUCGUAACGCAAUUCCUUCUUGAGACCCCCCAGAAAGCAACUCUUUAAGAGAAUAGGACCAACAUCAUAGGUUCGAGUGGCAAGGCGCCGAAAUUCCACAAUAUAAUCACGAAGAGGGCCGGUUUGGCGGAGUUUGAAUAGCGACUCAGUGCAGUCCUCAAACUCCGGUGGACCAAAUUCCUGGCACAAAGCAGUCGUGAAUUCACCCCAGGUGGGAGUGGAAUGUACACAAUCGCGCCAACGAAACCAGUACAGCGGCUCAUUCUUGAAGUGGAAGGAGGCGGUCAAAACCUUCUGAUUCUCCGGAGUGUGAUAAUAAGCAAAAUAUUGUUCGGCCUUAUAGAUCCACGCUGAGGGAUCAUCACCGUCGGAGAAACGGGGAAAAUCCAGACGAUGUGACCGCUGCGGGCGAGGAGUAAAACCGCCGCCUUCAAAAGAAUCACGGCGCUGAAACCGUGGAGUGUCGAGACAACGAAAAUCGCCAUCAUCGGUCACAAUGGGAGGAGGAAUAUGUGGAUCUGGCACUAGAGGUGGUGGUGCAGUCGAAGAGCCAGCACCGCCUUGAGGACCAGGGUCGCGAUGGAGAUGCUCCAGGAGAAGGGCGAAUUUGGUUUCGAGAGCGGUGAAGCGGGUGUCGGAAUUGGCGUUGGAAGUCUGGAUCAGCUGAGGAAUGGCUCCCAUGGCUUCCAGAGUAGCUUCCACGGCGGAGAGGCGCGAUUCAACAGUGGACAUUCGAGAAUUUGUGGUGUGGCGGGGCAUACAAGAGGGAGACUCAGGAUCGAGAGGCUGAUACCAAUUGUUAGGUCAAAACUUCUAAAUUCCCUUUCUCGACCUGCUAGUAGCUGAUAGUAAUGGCGGUGAGUGAGUGGGAAGGAAAAUAGAGAGAGAUAGAAAGUUUCUUGUAAUAUUGUUUUUCUAAUUCAAUCCUGCAGAACAAUGCCACAAUUUGGUUCUUAUACAACCAUCCUUCUCACAAUGCCAGCUGGCUACUAACAAUAACGACAUGUAGCUAAAUAGUUUUCCACUAUUAUUCUAACCACUAUUAUAAUCAUAACACCCACAUUCGGGAAUUCUGUCAAACAGUUUGCAGACACACAGACGGGCGAAAACAGAACUACCAAAUUAGACCUCACAGCAACCGAAUCACUAUUCGAGAACAUACCCAUCAUUGGAUCGCAGAUCACGGGGUCCCAGGCGUAGUCGUGCACGAGCUGGCGCAAGGAGACGGCGAAAUGCGGGGAGGGAAUUGAGGGUGUGGAAGAGGGAAUUGAAAGUGGGGCCGGGGAGGUGGAAAGAGAGGGAGAGAGAAGUGGGGAGCUUGGAGGAGGAGAGCAGCGGAGAGAGGGAGGAGAAGAAGGGUCUGAAGGCGAAGAGAGAGGCGGAGAGAAGAAGGAAGGAGAGGAUGGUUUUGACGGCGGCGAGGAGGGCGGUGAGAAAUGGAGCUGGGUUUUGGAGGUGGAGGAAUGGGUUGAGGUCUAGGAGGAGGACGAUGCGCACAGUGCCUGCCUAUCAUGUAAAACCAUUGACAAUGAUACAAGACAGUUUAUUUGGACCUAUAAAACUAUAUUUAUGUAAAACUAUAUUUUAUUCAAUUUCAAAAAUUAGUACAUGCAAUGACAUGUUUGAUCGUAAAAAAAAAAAAAAUGAGAAAUUUUCAGUGUAUCAGAAAUACGAAUCGGUAAAAAAUCUCUCCAAAAAUACAUAUGCAUGUUUUAUUCAAAAGGAAAGGAAUGAGGCGCCAUCAUCCCUAACACACUUUAUUACAAGUAGUAUCAUCCAUUGAGGCAGAGAAGUUAAUUAGAUGCUGUCCUUAAUGGAUGCACUAUAACCGUUGUCAUAGAACCUGUUCCAAAGCAUAACUCCUCCGUACUUGGCCGAAUUCUUAAUUGUUGGAAGGACUUGUGACUUGAGAGCAUCAGCAGGAAUAAAUCCGCUGCGCGCGGCAUCAGUAGACGCCGGUAUCCCCAAGAACACCUGGGUGGCCGAAACCGAGGCCCAUCGGUUCCAACUGCUCAAAAGAGCGUCGGCAUUACCGUCUGCAUACUGGCAUUGGGCUAGGGGGUUGUUGUAGAACUGAACCCAAACGUAGUCAAAUAAACCGGUUGGAUAGCGCCGUCUAGGUGAGUAUCCGGGAACGGGCAUUGUGGAGCUGCGGCUAAAUAGACCGUUUUUCCCUGUCCGUUGUGUCCUUUGAGUGACCUGGCGAGCUCGUCGUAGAACUGCGUACCACCCAACUCAAUGUCGAAAUCGACGCCGUCCAAAACCGCGUCCCCAAGCGGGCGCGAAUCUGACUGACCACCUAGGAAGUUGUUCCAGAUGUAAUCAGCAACUUGCCUUGCCUCAUCAGCUGAAGUGAGAGAGUAAGUUUCGGUGGCCCCUCCAAUCGAGAGGAGGACUUUUAUGUUUUUUGAUUGGCAGGUUCUGAUGUCGGCACUCUGCCCCGUGCAAGUACCACUAGCGGGGUUGCAGUGGCCGGCGAGGUUUAGGACAGGGGCUUGGUUGUUUCCAAAAGUUGAGAGGAAAGCUAUGUUAACAAACUGGUAGUUGCCCGAGUUGCAAGCUUCUGCUAGGGUUCCUUCGUUGCCGUUUUGGCCCCAAUACGUCGCGAUUCCGGCGGCUUGGGAGGACUUGCAUGAAGAAAUGAGGAUCAAGAGGGACAGAGUUAGGGCUAGGGUUUGUGUUUUGGAUGCCAUUUUUGUAUGUGUUUUUUUGGGUUGUUGCUCAAAGUGCUUGGGAGGGGACAUGUAAUUAUAGGUGCAGGAGACUUACUGGUUAAGGUUUGGGGGAAGAAAAGUAUGACAGACGUGUUCUGCAGGUAAGAAAUGGGUGCCAGUCUUCCUCUUGCAACCGCGUCAAUCGAGUUAGCUGGGGCCUGUUUAGUCCAAGUCUUCCAUAAAACGCCGAUUAAGUUAGGUUGUGUUGAAAAUGCUUUCUUCAAAAAACACUUACACACGUAAGCGCUUC